GGUGACUGGGAGACAACAGAACAUGUCAUGCGUGCAUUGGCUGAAGUGCCGUCAGGGGGGCUGUGUGCCUUCUCCCAGAUCCCAUCCCUUCUUUUGCUAAAUAGGAAAUCGCCUGUGGAGGAUAGACAGAUAGACAGACUGACACACAUACAGACAGACACACACAGACAGAUCAACCAACCAUAGGAAAUACCUACCACAAAUUGCCUAACAAUGAAGAUUUCACAAUGACAAGCAGGGCC